rnacentral:rRNA from 1 species
GACGAACGCUGGCGGCGUGCUUAACACAUGCAAGUCGAACGGUAAACCUCUUCGGAGGGGCUCAUUGGCGAACGGGUUAGUAACACGUUGGCAACCUGCCCCCGACCCUCGGAUAACUCCAAGAUAUCGGGGCUAAUCCCGCGUUUUUACUGCUUCCCGCCUGGGGGGUGGUGCAAGGGGUUUCCGGCUCGGGAUAGGCUCGCGGCCUAUCAGCUUGUUGGUGGGGUAGUGGCAUACGAAGCCCACGACGGGUAGCCGACCUGGGAGGGUGACCGGCCACACUGGUCCUGAGAGACGGAGCAGACUGGAACGGGAGACAGCGGUGGGGAAUAUUACGCAAUGAGAGGACGUGGGUGGAAGCGACGCUGCGUUGGUGAUGACGGCUUUUGGGGUGAAAACCUCUUUCAGCAGAUACGCAGCGGAAGUGACGGUACCUGAAGAAGAAGCACCGGCUAACUACGUG